rnacentral:misc_RNA from 12 species
UUAUUCUCUCUCUCUCUCUCUCUCUCUCUCUCUCUCUCUCUCUCACUCACUCUAGGUUAUUCGAAAUCGCGAGAAAUUGAUUGACGAAUAGAAUUGGAAUAGAGAGAGAGAGAGAGAGAGAGAGAGAGAGACAGAGUGACAA